rnacentral:rRNA from 1 species
UGCAGUCGUGCGAGAAAUUCGGCUUCGGUUGGAUGAGUAAAGCGGCGAACGGGUGAGUAACACGUGGAUAAUCUGCCCUCGAGUUCGGGAUAAUUCCCCGAAAGGGGUUGUAAUACCGGGUAACAUCUCCUGGUGGCAUCACCGGGAAAUCAAAGGCGGGGCAACCUGCCGCUCGAGGAUGAGUCCGCGUUCCAUUAGCUUGUUGGUGAGGUAACGGCUCACCAAGGCUGCGAUGGAUAGCCGGCCUGAGAGGGCGAUCGGCCACACUGGGACUGAGAUACGGCCCAGACUCCUACGGGAGGCAGCAGUAGGGAAUAUUGCGCAAUGGACGCAAGUCUGACGCAGCAACGCCGCGUGGGUGAUGAAGCUUUUCGGAGUGUAAAACCCUGUCAGUGGGGAAGAACCGUGCGGGAAGUAACUGUCCCGCGCCUGACGGUACCCACAGAGGAAGUCCCGGCUAACUCCGUGCCAGCAGCCGCGGUAAUACGGGGGGGACGAGCGUUGUUCGGAUUUACUGGGCGUAAAGGGCGUGUAGGCGGACCUUCAAGUCGGAUGUGAAACCUGGUGGCUUAACUGCCAGCCUGCAUCCGAUACUGUAGGUCUUGAGUACGGGAGAGGAAAGCGGAAUUCCAGGUGUAGCGGUGAAAUGCGUAGAUAUCUGGAAGAACACCGGUAGCGAAGGCGGCUUUCUGGACCGAUACUGACGCCUAAAGCGCGAAGGCUUGGG